GAAAUGCGAUAAGUAGUGUGAAUUGCAGAAUUCAGUGAAUCAUCGAAUCUUUGAACGCACAUUGCGCCCCUUGGUAUUCCAUGGGGCAUGCCUGUUCGAGCGUCAUUUGUACCCUCAAGCUCUGCUUGGUGUUGGGUGUUUGUCCCCGUCUCCGCGCGUGGACUCGCCCCAAAGUGAUUGGCAGCCGGCGUACUGGUCCCGGAGCGCAGCACAUGUCGCGCAAACGAGUGCCUUGGUACGGCGGCGUCCAUAAGCCCCUCUCUCACGCUCUUGACCUCGGAUCAGGUAGGGAUACCCGCUGAACUUAAGCAU
rnacentral:misc_RNA from 1 species